GUAAUGAAAGACUAGUAUUAUUUUUUAUCCGUUUGGUUUAAUGUUUUUAUUACAUGGAUAUGCAUUUUGCCACAAAAGAGGAUAACUGCAAGGAACCUCUAAAGAGAUGUUCUUCUUUAUUCAGGCCCCAGUGCGGAGCUUAAGAAGGGGCAGACUGAGGGACGUUUGUUUUCCAGCAGUAGGUUGAAGACGAUCGGGGCAGAAAUGAAAGAAUAGAGAGACAAGUGCAUAAUAUGUGCAAGCAAAUGCAUUCGUCAACUUAUUCAUAUAAACUUUAAACAGCAACAAGUAAUGCAACCCUCUCCCUCUCUAACUCGAUUCACUCUCUCAUGUAAUGCAAUUCUAAGUUCAAAACCAAAGUUAAUCUCCCUAAACGUUUAUGCGCAAAAACUUGAGAUCAGACGUCAUUCUUUUUCAGCGUUGGCUUCUCCCCUUUGAAAAUCAGAACAAGGAUACCAGGAAACUAAUCGCUAUCAGAAGAGUAUGAACUAUUUGAGUUGUCAUCGGAAUCCGAGGAAUAAUCACUGCUGGAAUCAGAGUUUCCUCCAACGAAAUUGAAUUUUGUUGGAGCUGGGCAAAUCACCGCCAAAUGUUCCUUUAUUUCAUCCUGGUUGAAGUCAGGAUCCUUCAUGCAUUCAAC
rnacentral:misc_RNA from 1 species